CCGCGGUAUCCUGACCGUGCAAAGGUAGCAUAAUCACUUGCCUAUUAAUUGUAGGCUAGAAUGAAAGGACAAACGAGAAUACACCUGUCUCCUUUAAGCCCUUAAAAAUUUAUCUUUAAGUGAAGAAGCUUAAAUUCAUAUGCAGGACAAGAAGACCCUAUAGAGCUUUACCUAAAAUCUACAUAAAUAGUAGCUAGCGGUUCGGUUGGGGCGACCGGGGGACAUUCAUCACCCCCAAACUAAAAGAUAUACCUAUCCCACCAAAGAUCCUUACUCAAGAUCAAAGAAUCAAGCUACCUUAGGGAUAACAGGCUAAUCCUCUUAGAGAGCCCUUAUCGACAAGAGGGGUUGGCACCUCGAUGUUGGCUU
rnacentral:rRNA from 1 species